rnacentral:piRNA from 1 species
UGAAAUCAGGACCCCCAAGGCAUUUC